UUUAUCUUGGAAUUAGCAAGAAAAAUACUCGGUGUCGUGUUAUUAAUGAAAAGAAUAGUAUUGCUCACUUCAUAAUGAUUUGAUAAAUUGUUAAGCCUGCCAUCAACAACAACCAGAAAAAUGAUGCUGCUGAAACUUUCUUACACAUGCUUUGUUUUUAGCCCUUUGAGUAACUGUUUAGUUAAGCUCAAUAAUCAUGUCUUUUUUCAUGGGUUUAUAUCAUAUAUGUGAUAUCAUGGAAUAUAAAGAAGUGUUAAAUUUCCACAAUGAGUUGAUAGAUAAUGGGAGAUGUUUAGGCAUGUGCUAAAUCCUACAUAGGUUGUUUACCAUGCAGAAUUAAGCUUUGAUGAUGAUUAUAAGAAAGUCUAACUAUAUUUAUGACUAAUUUUGGGGAGGAAUCACACUAGAGGUGAGAGGUAGCUCCAAUGGUAAUUUUGACAAGUUAUUUUAAAAUAUCAGAUAGAUAUUGUGGAUAAUCUUUCCCUAGUCAUGAAAACAUAUGCUACAUGAAGGGUGAGAUGAGUAGGUUUUGGAAGUAUAGAUAUCUGUGGUAUAAUCUAGCAAAAGGUGACAUAAUGAGAGAAUAAGUGCUUCACUUUGGUCCUAUUUUUGUUUGUGUGAUUCGUGUGGCAAAGCAUUCUCAAUUCACUCCUUGUAACAAGGUGAUUGGAGCUAGGCUGGUGACUAGGGAAUCACCAGCAACUUGGAGGCGCAGGAGGAGGAGGAGAGUAAUUGAUUCGGGAGGAAGAGCUUUGGGAGUUUAGGGCUCCCUUUGGCUGGGCUCGUGGGUCAGUUAGGCUUGGCUCAUGGGCCAUGGAUUUGGGUACUUUGAGUCAAUUGUAAUAAACUGAAUUAAUACGGGCUGGGCUUAGUACAGUACAUUGUUGUGAGCCCUCUAUGCAAGGACGUAGCGUGAUUAGUAUGUCUGUUAUUUUCCUUUGUUAUGAGUAUUGUAGCCUUAGCUUUACUGCAAGGUAGUUACAAUUCUGGAAGCAUAAAGCUUCUGUGGGUGGGAUGAUUCCCGAUUAUCGAAUAUUCCAAUACAACAGAAUUUAUUCUUCUUUUUCUUUCUUGCUCUGGAGGUCCUCACCCUCGAAGUGAGUCUUUACUUUUUUCUAAAUUCCAGCAGGCGUAUAACAAUUGGUAUCAGAGCCAGGUUCUCCUUGGCUGCUUCAUUGACGAUGGUGGAAGGUACUAGAAUGAACCAGUUGUAGGAUGGCUUGAAUGGGUUGAAGAAGUCCAUAGAAUCACAAUUUAAGACCUUGGAAACAUAGGUGUUGGCAUUGAAAAGGCAAUCUGAUGCAGUGGUCUAGCAGCUCGCAGCAUUGACAUUGGAACUGCAAAAGAAGAAUGCGGGGUAUCAGCACCAAGAAGAAUCUUCAUCAAGAACACGUCAUAGGCAGGAGGAUACGGGGUAGAACAAUGGUGAGUUAAUUACAAGGUCAGUAAGGUUGGAGUUUCCUUCUUUCUGUGGGGAGGACCCUUUAACUUGGCUGUAUAAAGCCAACCAGUUUUUCAUAUUCUAUAAUACAUUACCCAACCAGAAACUUAGAUUAGCAACCUUUCACAUGGAAGGGAAGGCUAUGGUGUGGCUUCAGGAUAUGGAGAUUUCAGGGUCCAUAACAGAUUGGGAAGGCUUUGUUAGGGCUUUCCUCAUUAGGUUUGGCCCUAGCACAUAUGAUGAUCCUAUGGAAUCCCUAACUAAGCUAAGGCAAACUGGGUCAAUAGAAGAGUAUAAGGAGGAGUUUGAAAAUCUGUCCAAUAGAUUGCUUAGGCUGCCAAAUCCAUCUAAGCUAAGUUGCUUCCUAAGUGGAUUAAGAGAUGAGAUUAGACUAUCGAUUAAAAUGUUUAAUCCACCUGAUCUUCUAACAGCCUUCAGUUUGGCUAAGAUUCAAGAAAAGUUGGUGAGAGUUGGCAAAAAGGUUUUCAGAAACCCCUCGGUUGGAAUGGUGGAAUCCAGUCAAUUUGAAGGAGGUGGUCACCAGGCUGGACAGAAUGUCAGUAAGGCCAUAGUGCCUAUGCAAAAAAUUAAUUCAGGGCAAAUGAAGGAAAGAAGAGAGCGAGGGCUGUGUUAUUAUUGUGAUUCCAAGUGGAAUCCGCGGCAUAAGUGUAAAAGUCCCAAACUGUUCCUUAUAGAAGAGGUGGUGGAUGAAGAAGAAGAAAAAGAUGGAGAAAAAGAGGUAGUAAAUCUGGUGGAGGAAGGAAAAGAAUUAGUGGAGCUUACGGAAGUGGGCAAGAAGCCUAAACUAUCAUUACAUGCCUUACUUGGGUCCAAUAACCCAAAGACUACGAGGAUAAAAGGGAAGUUGGCUGGUCAGUGGGUAGUUGUCCUAAUUGAUUCGGGCAGCACUCACAACCUCAUUGACACUGCGACAAGAAGAAAGUGUCGGCUGAAGGUUUGCAAUGAGGACACAAUGAAGGUGAAGUUGGCUAAUGGUGCAGGAGUAAGGGAGUGCAGAUUAAAAUCCAAGAAAAAUCAUUCACUAUGGAUUUUUUCUUGCUGGAGUUAGUGGGGUGUGAUGUUGUCUUAGGGGUUCAAUGGCUACAAACUCUGGGCACUAUCUCAUGGAACUUUAAAAAACUUACCAUGCAAUUUAACCAUCUUGAGCAGGAGGUUCUGUUGUAGGGAAUGAUGUCCACAUAGCUACUGGAGGAGAGUUCCUGUAGUGAACUCUGCAAGUUAGAGAAGAAGGGAACAAUACUACAAUUAAUCAAUGAACCAGAGAUCAGUACCCCUACGCAGAAGUGCCCCCAGAAGGUUAAAAAAAUGUUGGACCAGUUUCAUGAUGUUUUCCAAGAACCAAAAGGGUUGCCACCAUGUAGGGAGCAAGACCAUGCAAUCAACUUGUUGUUAGGAACACAGCCAAUGUCAGUGAGACCAUACAUGUACCUUUUUUUCCAAAAGAAUGAGAUUGAGAGAAUCAUUAAGGAGCUUUUGAAUUCUGAGGUAAUCCGGCCCAGUCAAAGUCCUUAUUUAUCCCUUGUUUUAUUGGUAAGAAAGGCUGAUGGUACAAGGAGAAUGUGUGUGGAUUAUAGAGCCUUGAACCAAGUAACUGUAAAAGAUAAAUUUCCCAUUCCUGUAGUAAAGGAGUUGCUGGAUGAAUUAAAUGGGUCUAAGGUGUUUUCUAAACUAAAUUUGAGAUCCGGUUACCACCAGAUUAGAGUGAAGCCUGAAGACAUACAUAAAACAGCUUUCCGAACCCAAGAAGGCCACUAUGAGUUCUUAGUCAUGCCCUUUGGGCUGACUAAUGCCCCAGCUACCUUUCAGAAUUUGAUGAAUGAAGUUUUUAGAACUUUUUUGAGAAAAUUUGUGUUGGUAUUCUUUGAUGACAUCCUAAUCUAUAGUAAGGAUGAGGAGGAACAUUUACAGCACUUACGGGUAAUCUUAGAGACCUUGAGGAAGCAUCAGUUAUUUGCUAAAGGGUCUAAGUGCUGUUUUGCAAGCUUGGAGGUGGGAUAUUUGGACCAUUUAAUUUCGGCUCAGGGGGUAAGAACUGAUCCUGAAAAAUUAAAGGCCAUGGUGGAAUGGCCAAAACCCUAGUCCAUAAAGUCCUUGAGGGGCUUCCUUGGGUUGACAGGGUAUUAUAGGAGAUUUAUAAAGAAUUAUGGAGUGUUGGCUUCCCCAUUAACAGCACUGCUUAAAAAGGAUAAUUUUCAUUGGGGGGAGGCAACGGAUGAAGCUUUUGUAAGAUUGAAACAGGCUGUGAGCAGCCCAUCAGUGCUAGCCCUUCCUGAUUUUACCAAGAAGUUCGUGAUAGAAUGUGAUGUCUCGGGUAAGGGAAUUGGGGCUGUACUCAUGCAACAAGGACGGCCCAUAUCUUUUUUCAGCCAAGCACUCAAGGGGAGGGCCCUCUCCCUACCUACCUAUGAAAAAGAGUUGUAUUCUCUGGAUACAGCUAUUCAAAAUGGAGACCCUAACUUUUAGGCAGGUCUUUUGUGGUGAGAACUGACCACCAUAGCUUAAAAUACCUUCUAGAUCAGAAAAUUGGUACUCCAAUGCAGCAAAAGUGGUUGAGUAAAGUGAUGGGGUAUGACUUCGUGGUGGAGUUUAAAAAAAGGGCUGAAAACAGAGUUGCAGAUGCUCUAUCUAGACAAGGUGAGGAAGAAGAAUUUUCUGUGGCCCUACUAUCAGUACCGAGUUUAGAUUGGUUGGAAGAGAUUAAGGAAUGGUAUAAGGGUGAUCCUAGAGCCCUGGAAAUACUGUCCAAGUGCCAACAAGGUCAGGAACCUCAGCAUUAUUUGGUUAGGGAAGGUGUGCUAUACUACAAAGACAGGGUUUAUAUUGCUAGCAACUCGGAGUUAAAAGGAAGACACUUGGAAUUUUUACAUGGUAGUUCAUGGGGCGGCCAUUCGGGAAUGGAUAAAACCAUUCACAAGGUGACCCGAGAAUUUUAUUGGCCCAAAUUGAAAUCUGAGGUGAGGGCUUUUGUUAGGAAUUGUCCAAUUUGUCAGCAGCAAAAAACUGAUCAUACCCUUCCUAAUGGGUUGCUACAACCCCUUCCAGUACCCUCUCAACCAUGGACUCACCAUGGACUUCAUUGAGGGGUUACCAAAUGCUAGUGGGUUCAGUCUUUAUGGGUGGUGGUGGACCAUUUAACUAAGUACAGUCACUUUGUGCCCUUGGGACAUCCAUACACAACUAAGUCAGUAGCCCAGUUAUUUGUGAAACAUGUGUUCAAGCUUCAUGGAUUACCCCAAUCGAAUGUUUCAGAUCGGGACAGUACAUUCACUAGUAAUUUUUGGAGGGAGCUAUUUAAAGCUCAAGGGGCCAAACUAGAGUUUAGCAUGGCAUACCAUCAGCAGACAGACGGGCAAUCUGAGGCUGUGAACAAGAGCCUUGAAACUUAUUUGAGAUGUUUUGUAGGGGAUUGGCCGAAGGAUUGGGUCAGGUGGGUACCAUUAGCUGAGUGGUGGUAUAACACCACUCAACACACAUCUACAAGGCUCACACCCUUUGAGGCUUUAUAUGGUUACCAACAUCCCAAGCUCAUCUCAUACGUUCCAGGAACCACUAAGGCAGAGGAAGUUGAAAUUGAACGACACAACAUCAAUAGAGCCCAAGAAUGAAUGGUGAAAUAUGCUAAUUUAAAAAGGAAAGAGCAGACCUUUACCGUGGGAGAUUGGGUGUAUUUAAGGUUACAACCUUACCAACAAGUGUUUGUAUCAUAGCGACGGGAUUUGAAGUUAGCACCUCAUUUUUAUGGGCCAUUUCAGGUGGAGGCUAGGGUGGGUGAAGUAGCCUACAAACUGAAACUGCCGGCGUCUUCACAGAUACAUCCAGUGUUUCAUGUCUCACAGUUGAAGAGGAGCUUAGGGGACCGAGUGGUAGUUGCACCAGUACUGCCGCCAGUGAAUCAACAGGGAAUCCUGCAGUCGGAACUAGUAGAAAUAUUAAAUCGUAGGAUUCGGCCAGUGAACAACCGAACCGUGGUGGAAUUAUUGGUGAAAUGGCACGGACAAGAGGAAGAAGAUGCUACCUGGGAGAACUACUAUAAGCUGAAAGCGGCAUUUCCCCACCUUAAGGGCAAGGUGUUUUAAGGGGAGGGCAUUGUAACAAGGUGACCGGAGCUGAGGGUGGUGACCAGGGAAUCACUAGCAACUCGGAGGCGUAGCAAGAGGAGGAGAGUAAUUGAUUCGGGAGGCAAAGCUUUGGGAGUUUAGGGCUCUUUUUGGCCGGGCUCGUGGGUCAGUUGGGCUUGGCUCAUGGGCCAUGGAUUUGGGUACUUUAAGUCAAUUGUAAUAAACUGAAUUAAUACAGGUUGGGCUUCGUACAGUACAUUGUUGUGAGCCCUCUAUGCAAGGACUUAGCGUGAUUAGUAUGUCUGUUAUUUUCCUUUGUUACGAGUACUGUAGCCUUAGCUUUACUGCGAGGCAGUUACAAUUCUGGAAGCAUAUAGCUUCCGUGGGUGGGAUGAUUUCCGAUUAUCGAAUAUUCCAAUACAACAGAAUUUAUUCUUCUCUUUCUUUCUUGCUUUGGAGGUCCUCACCCUCAAAGUGAGUCUUUACUUUUUUCUAAAUUCCAGCAGGUGUAUAACACUCCAACUUGGAGAUCAGGUGACUUCCGAAGAUAGGGCCAAUUGGAAAUCUGCCGACGUUCACUAGCUUAAUAGGUGGGCUGAGUUUAGUAACAAUUAUAAUUAAGGGCUUGUUAUUGUGGAAGAAAUGCUUUGUGGUUGUAUACCGAUUAGAGAUCAUUGGCUACGCUCAAGGUUUGAAGGAAAAGUCAAUAUUGAUUUUGAUGAACAUUAGAUUGCGUUUCAACCAUGAUUUUAAACCUAUGAUUUUGAAAAGUUUAAAACCCUAGUCUGAAUCCAAAUCCAGAUUUAAUAUAUAAUCCACAUAUAAGGGAUUUGGAUUUUAAAGACCAAAUCCAAAUCCUUCUGAUCUCCAAACCCAGCCACCCCAACACAGUACCAUAAAAGAACUAUCUCUGGAACUUCUAGCUACACAGCAUUAAUGAUUGGAGUUAUGCUAUUGUUCAUUGGGGCAAAAGUACAGCAAAUAUUUAAUGAAUUUAAGGUCUGAUUGCCAGAGUGUAGGCGGGAGGAGUGCGUUUUGGGGUUGCCAAGGGGUGAUGAUAGCUAGGCAAGUUCAUGGUGUUGUGAACAGCAGCAGUUUGAGUUAAGAAGAAUAUGUAAUGCUGCUCAUAUUCAAUGUUAUGGUCUUAAGAGUUAAACUUUUAACCAAAUUAGUACUCAACAGUCUUAAGGCUUUUGGAUGAUCAAUAGUUGAGUUUUUAAUAACUGGUAUUAGAUUAGGGACUACGUCACGAGUUCAAUUCACGAAUGGGGCAACCUAUAGGCUAGAUUAAAAUCCCUUGGUACUAUGUAUGGACAUGGUAUUAAGUCAUUGAAUACUAAUAGAUGAGUAAAAUCGUCAAAAGGUAAAGGGCCAUUACCAGGUUAGUGUCAAUAGAGUAGGCCGCCAUGGAGUACCACACAACAUAGUUCAAAUACUCUGAAUGAAAUACAAAACAAAAAUCAUGUCCAUUUUGCAUAAAUUGUGUUUACAACAUAGAUAAUUUUAAAUUGUGUUUAGAAAAACAAAUAUUGUUCCUUUGAAUGAAGAACUUUGUAAAACAGUAUAAAACAUCGUUUAUAAAAGCUUAUGCUAAUAAUUUACUUUGAGGUUGCGUUUGGAUAGAAGAAUUCGGAUUUAGGUUUGAGUUGGAUUUGGAUUUCAAAUCGACCAUGAUUUUAAAUCUAAGAUUUUGAAAAGCUUAAAAUCUUGUUUAACUUUGAUGCAAAAAUUAACGAGAAAUUUGGAUUUUAAAGCCCUAAAUCCGAAUCCUCCUUCAAAUCUAUCCCAUCCAAAUGCACCAUAAAUGAAGAGCAAACUUCUCGCUUCGUAACUUUUAUUUAUAUUUUUUUAUUUUUUGGCAUAGAAUACCUUGUCAUCUGAAAUGAUGAGUUUGGAAUAUCUUUAGGAUUUAUUAGUUUUUUUUAAACAAACUUGCAUUGAAAUUAAAAGAGAAUACAAGAGUUGAGGGCGGGGGAACCCUGGCAAAAACCCUUUUACAGAAAUUGCAAUACAUGAUACAGGACCCGGUCCCUUUUUUCUUGGCCAAGCCAAGGAGGGGACCGCUACAAUAGCGGUUAUAAAAUCUAUCUGGUAGAUUUUUUGAAUCUGGUGGUGAUCUGCAUUGGUGAAAGAGGCACUGCAACCAUUUAUUCUAGAGUGGUCGAUGAAGAUCUUCAUAUCCAUUUUCUGUAGAUUCUUGGUUAAGGAAAGCUGAAACAUAACUGGACAGCUAGAAUCGGAUGGUCCAUAUUGCUAGUGGCUGUAUUUCGGAGGAACGUGCACUUGCUGGCAGGGAUGGGGCAAAGGGAUUUGAGAUCUGAAGGAUCUAGAGAUGGGGAAUCCAACUGUGCCGAUAGUGUGGUGGAAGGAUACCGGAAAAUGUGCCGAUGUAUUAAAAAGUCUCGUGGCUUGGGCAGCGCAUGCAUGCCAGGUGUCGGUUGUUUGGCAGCUCCUCCACCUGGGUUUUGAAGAUUGGCAGCUAGCUAGCACAGUGGUGGGGCAUGUGUGACAAUCCGAAGGCCGGAAUGCGACGAAUUGGACAUUUUCAAUCAAGUGGAAAAGGAAAGGAAAAAAAAAAAAGAGAAGAAAAAGAAAUUGUGGACUAGCUGGAGAAAAGAAAUUGGAAAAAGCCACUAUGUAGUGGCUGAGGAGGAGGAGAGGGAGGGGCUGGGGCUCCCCCUCCCUUCCAGCAAAGGUUUACGGUGGGUGUGGGUUAAAACUCUCUCUUGGGCACUCGGACUCUAGGGCUCUCUCUCUCUCAAGGAAAGCACUGUGAAUUGCGAAGCGAAACUGCCAUCAUG